UGCAAGUCGAACGGUAACAUUUCUAGCUUGCUAGAAGAUGACGAGUGGCGGACGGGUGAGUAAUGCUUGGGAACUUGCCUUUGCGAGGGGGAUAACAGUUGGAAACGACUGCUAAUACCGCAUAAUGUCUUCGGACCAAACGGGGCUUAGGCUCCGGCGCAAAGAGAGGCCCAAGUGAGAUUAGCUAGUUGGUAAGGUAACGGCUUACCAAGGCGACGAUCUCUAGCUGUUCUGAGAGGAAGAUCAGCCACACUGGGACUGAGACACGGCCCAGACUCCUACGGGAGGCAGCAGUGGGGAAUAUUGCACAAUGGGGGAAACCCUGAUGCAGCCAUGCCGCGUGUGUGAAGAAGGCCUUCGGGUUGUAAAGCACUUUCAGUUGUGAGGAAAAGUUAGUAGUUAAUACCUGCUAGCCGUGACGUUAAUAACAGAAGAAGCACCGGCUAACUCCGUGCCAGCAGCCGCGGUAAUACGGAGGGUGCGAGCGUUAAUCGGAAUUACUGGGCGUAAAGCGCACGCAGGCGGUUUGUUAAGCUAGAUGUGAAAGCCCCGGGCUC
rnacentral:rRNA from 1 species